CUGGCGGCGUGCCUAAUACAUGCAAGUAGAACGCUGAAGAGAGGAGCUUGCUCUUCUUGGAUGAGUUGCGAACGGGUGAGUAACGCGUAGGUAACCUGCCUUGUAGCGGGGGAUAACUAUUGGAAACGAUAGCUAAUACCGCAUAACAAUAGGUGACACAUGUCAUUUAUUUGAAAGGGGCAAUUGCUCCACUACAAGAUGGACCUGCGUUGUAUUAGCUAGUAGGUGAGGUAACGGCUCACCUAGGCGACGAUACAUAGCCGACCUGAGAGGGUGAUCGGCCACACUGGGACUGAGACACGGCCCAGACUCCUACGGGAGGCAGCAGUAGGGAAUCUUCGGCAAUGGGGGCAACCCUGACCGAGCAACGCCGCGUGAGUGAAGAAGGUUUUCGGAUCGUAAAGCUCUGUUGUAAGUCAAGAACGAGUGUGAGAGUGGAAAGUUCACACUGUGACGGUAGCUUACCAGAAAGGGACGGCUAACUACGUGCCAGCAGCCGCGGUAAUACGUAGGUCCCGAGCGUUGUCCGGAUUUAUUGGGCGCAAAGCGAGCGCAGGCGGUUUGAUAAGUCUGAAGUUAAAGGCUGUGGCUCAACCAUAGUUCGCUUUGGAAACUGUCAAACUUGAGUGCAGAAGGGGAGAGUGGAAUUCCAUGUGUAGCGGUGAAAUGCGUAGAUAUAUGGAGGAACACCGGUGGCGAAAGCGGCUCUCUGGUCUGUAACUGACGCUGAGGCUCGAAAGCGUGGGGAGCGAACAGGAUUAGAUACCCUGGUAGUCCACGCCGUAAACGAUGAGUGCUAGGUGUUGGAUCCUUUCCGGGAUUCAGUGCCGCAGCUAACGCAUUAAGCACUCCGCCUGGGGAGUACGACCGCAAGGUUGAAACUCAAAGGAAUUGACGGGGGCCCGCGCAAGCGGUGGAGCAUGUGGUUUAAUUCGAAGCAACGCGAAGAACCUUACCAGGUCUUGACAUCCCGAUGCUAUUUCUAGAGAUAGAAAGUUACUUCGGUACAUCGGUGACAGGUGGUGCAUGGUUGUCGUCAGCUCGUGUCGUGAGAUGUUGGGUUAAGUCCCGCAACGAGCGCAACCCCUAUUGUUAGUUGCCAUCAUUCAGUUGGGCACUCUAGCGAGACUGCCGGUAAUAAACCGGAGGAAGGUGGGGAUGACGUCAAAUCAUCAUGCCCCUUAUGACCUGGGCUACACACGUGCUACAAUGGUUGGUACAACGAGUUGCGAGUCGGUGACGGCAAGCUAAUCUCUUAAAGCCAAUCUCAGUUCGGAUUGUAGGCUGCAACUCGCCUACAUGAAGUCGGAAUCGCUAGUAAUCGCGGAUCAGCACGCCGCGGUGAAUACGUUCCCGGGCCUUGUACACACCGCCCGUCACACCACGAGAGUUUGUAACACCCGAAGUAGGUGAGGUAACCUUUUGGAGCCAGCCGCCUAAGGUGGGAU
rnacentral:rRNA from 1 species